GUGAGGAAUAUUGGUCAAUGGACGGAAGUCUGAACCAGCCAUGCCGCGUGAAGGAUGAAGGCGUUCUGCGUUGUAAACUUCUUUUAUCAGAGAAGAAACCACUGAUUUCUAUUAGUGUUGACGGUAUCUGAUGAAUAAGCACCGGCUAACUCCGUGCCAGCAGCCGCGGUAAUACGGAGGGUGCAAGCGUUAUCCGGAUUUACUGGGUUUAAAGGGUGUGUAGGCGGGCUAUUAAGUCAGGGGUGAAAUCCCGGGGCUCAACCUCGGAACUGCCUUUGAUACUAUUAGUCUUGAAUUAUGUUGAGGUUGGCGGAAUAUAACAUGUAGCGGUGAAAUGCAUAGAUAUGUUAUAGAACACCAAUUGCGAAGGCAGCUCACUAAGGCGAUACUGACGCUGAGGCACGAAAGCGUGGGGAUCGAACAGGAUUAGAUACCCUGGUAGUCC
rnacentral:rRNA from 1 species